rnacentral:Y_RNA from 1 species
GUCACGAAUGCAGAUGGAACUACAUGGUUAAGGACCCGGAAGUCGUGGGUUCGAGUCCCACCGGCUCCACUCUCGUGAGCUGUCGAUCGACAGCUCUUCAGGGGCCGUAGCUCAGUGGCCAGAGCGCCGUAAACGUUUCGUCGAUCCUCGUCGUGACUGA